rnacentral:rRNA from 1 species
ACAGAGUGACAGGUGGUGCAUGGUUGUCGUCAGCUCGUGUCGUGAGAUGUUGGGUUAAGUCCCGCAACGAGCGCAACCCUUGAUCUUAGUUGCCAGCAUUCAGUUGGGCACUCUAAGGUGACUGCCGGUGACAAACCGGAGGAAGGUGGGGAUGACGUCAAAUCAUCAUGCCCCUUAUGACCUGGGCUACACACGUGCUACAAUGGACAGAACAAAGGGCUGCGAGACCGCAAGGUUUAGCCAAUCCCACAAAUCUGUUCUCAGUUCGGAUCGCAGUCUGCAACUCGACUGCGUGAAGCUGGAAUCGCUAGUAAUCGCGGAUCAGCAUGCCGCGGUGAAUACGUUCCCGGGUCUUGUACACACCG